rnacentral:rRNA from 1 species
UACGUAGGGGGCGAGCGUUAUCCGGAAUUAUUGGGCGUAAAGCGCGCGCAGGCGGUUUCUUAAGUCUGAUGUGAAAGCCCACGGCUCAACCGUGGAGGGUCAUUGGAAACUGGGAGACUUGAGUGCAGAAGAGGAGAGUGGAAUUCCACGUGUAGCGGUGAAAUGCGUAGGGAUGUGGAGGAACACCAGUGGCGAAGGCGACUCUCUGGUCUGUAACUGACACUGAGGCGCGAAAGCGUGGGGAGCAAACAGG